CCUACGGGUGGCAGCAGUAGGGAAUCUUCCACAAUGGGCGAAAGCCUGAUCCAGCAACGCCGCGUGGGUGAAGAAGGUCUUCGGAUCGUAAAACCCUGUUGUUAGAGAAGAAAGUGCGUGAGAGUAACUGUUCACGUUUCGACGGUAUCUAACCAGAACGCCACGGCUAACUACGUGCCAGGAGCCGCGGGAAUACGUAGGUGGCAAGCGUUAUCCGGUUUUAAUUGGCGUGAAGGGAACGCAGGCGGGCUUUUAAGUCUGAUGUGAAAGUCUUCGGCUUAACCCGAGUAUUGCAUUGGAAACUGGGAGAAUUGAGUGCAGAAGAGGAGGGUGGAAGUCCAUGUGUAGCGGUGAAAUGCGUAGAUAUAUGGAAGAACACCAGUGGCGAAGGCGGCCCUCUGGGCUGUAACUGACGCUGAGGUUCGAAAGCGUGGGUAGCAAACAGGAUUAGAUACCCCAGUAGUC
rnacentral:rRNA from 1 species